UCAAAUGCAUGAGGAGCCAGCACUCAAA
rnacentral:piRNA from 1 species